UUGAGAAAAAGAAAGAAAAAAAGAUAGGCAAGUCUCUUGACUUCAUUUCUAGGUUUUCUAUAUAUAUAAACAAAUCCCACUUCAUUUCUUCAUUUCAGAAAAAUGGAAAGAAUCCCAAAAAAGACAAACAAGAGCCCAAAGAUAAAGAAAAGACAGCCACUUAAGGUUGUCUACAUCACAAACCCUAUCAAGUUCGAGGCAAGUGCCUUGGAGUUCCGGUCACUUGUGCAAGAACUCACCGGCCAAGAUGCUGACGUGGAGGCGGUGAAGGCGGCCGCGGCGGAGGAGGGCAAUGUUCAUGCAGCCUCGGAGAAGGGACAAGUCACAAAGUUGGGGCAGUUUAGUGGUAAAGUGGAUGAAUGGGAGGAGUCCGACCCGGCGGCCGUCAGAUCCGCCGUGUCGGACUACGAUGACGUUGCGUCGCCGAUGAUGAUUGAGGGGAUUUCCCCAAACCUAUUUGAUAUCCUUCAAAAUCUAGAUGCAAUGUAUUACUCCAAGUGCAAUCUGUAGGUAUGGCGCUUCUUCUCCAAUUAAAUAUCGGAGUCCAAUCACUUAAAUAUUAGUUGGUGGUGCACGGUGGCCGGGUGCAGACUCUGAAUACCGGCCCUUUGACUCCAACACCCAGUACGAUCCCGAUUUUAGUACGGAUUCGUAAGGGCUGUCAGACAUGGAGUUGGUGGCGGCCGCCAACCGGAGGACGUUGUUGGACACGCACCACGCCCUCAUGCAGUGCCAGGACCCGGCCAAAGCCGAAUACCUCAAGUGGAUGAUCGAUGAUCUGCGCCGCAAGCUGGGAAUGAACUAGUAAUGGCGGACGUUAGGGCGUCCCAUUGCAGGUGGAAGGAUAUGAGGAUAGAAUGCUGAUGUGGCGGAGCAUAGGGCACCCUAUAGGGCGGACUAUAGGGCGCCCCAUUGUGGAUGCUCUAAGAAGCAAAGCACAGAGAGCAUCAACAAACAUGUGCAGUAAAAAGAUGUCCCACCAACAAGAACAAGAGAAAGCCAAAGGCAGCAAAAGCAACUGCAUUACCCAAAAGAAGGGUGAAAGAGUGAAAACAUACACCGACACCUCCAAUAUGUCACUGAGGUGAAAAAGGAAAGGUCGAACAUCAACCUCUGAUCCACAUACCAGCUGUCAAAAUAGACGCUUCUUUUCCUUAUUCCAACUAGGGUUGAGUUUCUGGAAAAUCACUAUGUUCCGAAGGUCCCAUAUCAACCAUGAAAAGACAUAAAAUGUAGACGGCCACAUCUUUUUAUCAAACUUUCAGAAAGGAGAAUUCAUCCAGGUAAGUAAACACAACCUUAGCUUUCUUGAAAAAUAAUUUUCACAGUAUGAGCAGUCUGUUAAAUUAAAAUUAGUAAAAUAUAAAAGAGAAAACGGAAAAGUGAUUGAAUUAGUAUUAAUAAUAAUGAGAUACAAAUCAUUAGUGUGCAAUGAAUUCUUUCAAAAAAUACCUACUAAUUUGAUGAGAUGUAUCAAAAUGGCAAAUGAUUUUACUUUGAAAUAAGAGUGAGUAUUAUUUUUCUCAUGAUACACGUGUCCCCAACUUUAGUACUAUAUGACAUGAUCUUCAAAAUUUUAAUAGUAUCAACUUUUUUCUUGUAGAAACGAGAAAAAGAUUAGAAGCAAGAAGUUCCCCCAUCACGUUUUCUCCCUGAUGCUCACAUGUGUGGGUCAUCAAUUUGGAUGUAUGUUCAUUUAUUUCAUCAAUGGAAUAAUUGCAUUUUAUUAAAUAGAAGAUUAAUCAUAGAAUGUAUAAUAGAGUUGUCAUUUUAUUUAUUAGGCUCCUCAAAACCCUUCAAUACAAAUACUUGUUUUUUC